CCUACGGGAGGCAGCAGUGGGGAAUUUUGGACAAUGGGGGCAACCCUGAUCCAGCCAUUCCGCGUGAGUGAAGAAGGCCUUCGGGUUGUAAAGCUCUUUCGCAAGGGAAGAAAACUUAUGAUCGAAUAAAUCAUGAGGUUGACGGUACCUUGAUAAGAAGCACCGGCUAACUACGUGCCAGCAGCCGCGGUAAUACGUAGGGUGCGAGCGUUAAUCGGAAUUACUGGGCGUAAAGCGUGCGCAGGCGGUUUUGUAAGUCGGAUGUGAAAUCCCCGGGCUCAACCUGGGAACUGCGUUCGAAACUGCAAGGCUAGAGUGUGUCAGAGGGGGGUAGAAUUCCACGUGUAGCAGUGAAAUGCGUAGAGAUGUGGAGGAAUACCAAUGGCGAAGGCAGCCCCCUGGGAUAACACUGACGCUCAUGCACGAAAGCGUGGGGAGCAAACAGGAUUAGAUACCCUGGUAGUCCACGCCCUAAACGAUGUCAACUAGUUGUUGGUAGAGUAAAAUCUAUGAGUAACGUAGCUAACGCGUGAAGUUGACCGCCUGGGGAGUACGGUCGCAAGNUUAAAACUCAAAGGAAUUGACCGGNGNGAGACGNGCGAGACGACGACGAGGGAGAGG
rnacentral:rRNA from 1 species